rnacentral:rRNA from 1 species
GAGUUUGAUCAUGGCUCAGGACGAACGCUGGCGGCGUGCUUAACACAUGCAAGUCGAGCGGGAGAAUCUGGUGCUUGCACCAGAGGAUCUAGCGGCGGACGGGUGAGUAACACGUGGGCAACCUGCCCUAAGGAGGGGAAUAACAGGCCGAAAGGUCUGCUAAUACCGCAUAAGACCUUAGCUUCGCAUGGAGCAUAGGUUAAAGAUUUAUCGCCUUAGGAUGGGCCCGCGGCGCAUUAGCUAGUUGGUAAGGUAACGGCUUACCAAGGCGACGAUGCGUAGCCGACCUGAGAGGGUGAUCGGCCACAUUGGGACUGAGACACGGCCCAGACUCCUACGGGAGGCAGCAGUGGGGAAUAUUGCACAAUGGGGGAAACCCUGAUGCAGCAACGCCGCGUGAGCGAUGAAGGCCUUC